CAAAAAUCUCACAUUUGCAGUGCUGUUAUUACUGCAGGGGAUUCGGGGUGAGCGUAUGCAAAUUAAUUCAACAAAGAACCAAAUUUUUGCCUAAUUUAUUCCACUUUAAACAUGGAUUUCAUGGAGUAUAUGUUUGCUAUUUUCAACAGCUUUGAAAGACAACUCCGGAAGAGGUGUAAAAGCCAGAUAUAUAAUGUUUAUAUAUUUCCUUAAAUAGUAAUAGGCAUGCAGGAAUGUACACAAAAUGUUUUUUAACCCCUUAACGCCGUUACGGCGUUCUAUGCCGUCCAGCAUUAAGAGCCGUUGCAGCGGCCUAGAACGCGUAACGGCUUUCUAUCCCUGGAGGUCCGCGGUACUCACCUCUGCCGCGAUCCUCUUCUGGAGGGCUGCCUGACAGCCCAGGCAGCCCUCCUCCAGCAAAUGUGGCCCCCGGGGGCCAUGUGAUCGCUCUUUAAGAGCGAUCACAUGGCCCCCUAUAGCUGGCUGUGGAUCUGCCAGCAGGGGAACUGUCUGGAGUGUCAGACAGUCCCCCUGCUGGUGGGAAAGUAAAAAAAAAAAAA